UACGAAGGGGACUAGCGUUGUUCGGAAUCACUAGGCGUAAAGCGCACGUAGGCGGAUAUGUCAGUCAGGGGUGAAAUCCCGGGGCUUAACCUCGGAACUGCCUUUGAUACAGCAUAUCUUGAGUCCGAUAGAGGUGGGUGGAAUUCCUAGUGUAGAGGUGAAAUUCGUAGAUAUUAGGAAGAACACCGGUGGCGAAGGCGGCCCACUGGAUCGGUACUGACGCUGAGGUGCGAAAGCGUGGGGAGCAAACAGG
rnacentral:rRNA from 1 species